rnacentral:rRNA from 1 species
GACGAACGCUGGCGGCGUGCUUAACACAUGCAAGUCGAACGGAAAGGCCCUGCUUGCAGGGUACUCGAGUGGCGAACGGGUGAGUAACACGUGGGUGGUCUGCCCUGCACUUCGGGUUAAGCCUGGUCAACUGGGUCGAGUACCUGCUGGUAGCUAUUUUUAGCGUGAUGGUUGGAAAGUUUUUUCGGUUUUGGAUGAGCUUGCUGGCUAUCAGCUUGUUGGUGUGGUAAUGGCCUACCAAAGCGGCGAAGGGUGGCCGGCCUGAGAGGGUGGACGGCGACAUUGGGACCUAGAGACGGCCCAGACUCGGACGGGAGGGAGAAGGGGGGAAGAUUGAACAAGGGGCGCAAGCCUGAUGCAGAGGCGCCUCGGGGAGGAUGACGCCCUUCUGGUUGUAAACUACUUUCGCUAGGGACGAAGCUUUUUGUGACGGUACCUAGACAAGAAGCCACGGCUAACUACGUG